UAUACAUGCAAGUCGAGCGAACAGAAGGGAGCUUGCUCCCGGAUGUUAGCGGCGGACGGGUGAGUAACACGUGGGUAACCUGCCUGUAAGACUGGGAUAACUCCGGGAAACCGGAGCUAAUACCGGAUAGUUCCUUGAACCGCAUGGUUCAAGGAUGAAAGACGGUUUCGGCUGUCACUUACAGAUGGACCCGCGGCGCAUUAGCUAGUUGGUGGGGUAAUGGCUCACCAAGGCGACGAUGCGUAGCCGACCUGAGAGGGUGAUCGGCCACACUGGGACUGAGACACGGCCCAGACUCCUACGGGAGGCAGCAGUAGGGAAUCUUCCGCAAUGGACGAAAGUCUGACGGAGCAACGCCGCGUGAGUGAUGAAGGUUUUCGGAUCGUAAAGCUCUGUUGUUAGGGAAGAACAAGUGCGAGAGUAACUGCUCGCACCUUGACGGUACCUAACCAGAAAGCCACGGCUAACUACGUGCCAGCAGCCGCGGUAAUACGUAGGUGGCAAGCGUUGUCCGGAAUUAUUGGGCGUAAAGGGCUCGCAGGCGGUUUCUUAAGUCUGAUGUGAAAGCCCCCGGCUCAACCGGGGAGGGUCAUUGGAAACUGGGAAACUUGAGUGCAGAAGAGGAGAGUGGAAUUCCACGUGUAGCGGUGAAAUGCGUAGAGAUGUGGAGGAACACCAGUGGCGAAGGCGACUCUCUGGUCUGUAACUGACGCUGAGGAGCGAAAGCGUGGGGAGCGAACAGGAUUAGAUACCCUGGUAGUCCACGCCGUAAACGAUGAGUGCUAAGUGUUAGGGGGUUUCCGCCCCUUAGUGCUGCAGCUAACGCAUUAAGCACUCCGCCUGGGGAGUACGGUCGCAAGACUGAAACUCAAAGGAAUUGACGGGGGCCCGCACAAGCGGUGGAGCAUGUGGUUUAAUUCGAAGCAACGCGAAGAACCUUACCAGGUCUUGACAUCCUCUGACAACCCUAGAGAUAGGGCUUUCCCUUCGGGGACAGAGUGACAGGUGGUGCAUGGUUGUCGUCAGCUCGUGUCGUGAGAUGUUGGGUUAAGUCCCGCAACGAGCGCAACCCUUGAUCUUAGUUGCCAGCAUUUAGUUGGGCACUCUAAGGUGACUGCCGGUGACAAACCGGAGGAAGGUGGGGAUGACGUCAAAUCAUCAUGCCCCUUAUGACCUGGGCUACACACGUGCUACAAUGGACAGAACAAAGGGCUGCGAGACCGCAAGGUUUAGCCAAUCCCAUAAAUCUGUUCUCAGUUC
rnacentral:rRNA from 1 species